GGGACAUCCAAAGAACUUUCCCAAGUUCUCAGGGAGAAAAACACGCAAUAUGUGUCUCAUGUGUGGGUGAGGUCUGUCUAGAGAAGAUACAGCCAUCCUUUCCUUACAUGGAAUGCCACGUGUCUGGGGACCAAGGAGGAGAGAGCUGGCAUUCUUUGCUUCCAGCGUGCCAGUCUGCCUGCUGGUGCAGAAGACACCUAAGUGCUGGGAGAAGUAAAGCAGCAUAAAUCAACAGGAUAUCCAAGUUCACCAGGAAGUUGCUUGUGUUCAGAGCCCAAAGCACCUGGGAGCGAGAG